rnacentral:rRNA from 1 species
GACGAACGCUGGCGGCGUGCUUAACACAUGCAAGUCGAACGGAAAGGCCCUGCUUUUGUGGGGUGCUCGAGUGGCGAACGGGUGAGUAACACGUGAGUAACCUGCCCUUGACUUUGGGAUAACUUCAGGAAACUGGGGCUAAUACCGGAUAGGAGCUCCUGCUGCAUGGUGGGGGUUGGAAAGUUUCGGCGGUUGGGGAUGGACUCGCGGCUUAUCAGCUUGUUGGUGGGGUAGUGGCUUACCAAGGCUUUGACGGGUAGCCGGCCUGAGAGGGUGACCGGCCACAUUGGGACUGAGGUACGGCCCAGAUUCCUACGGGAGGAAGCAGUGGGGAAUAUUGCACAAUGGGCGGAAGCCUGAUGCAGCAACGCCGCGUGCGGGAUGACGGCCUUGGGGUUGUAAACCGCUUUCGCCGGUGACGAAGCGUGAGUGACGGUAAUGGGUAAAGAAGCACCGGCUAACUA